rnacentral:tRNA from 1 species
GGUUGUGGCUCAGCGGUAGAGCGCUUGCCUAGCAUGUGCAAGGCCCUGGGUUCAAUCCUCAGUACCA